rnacentral:rRNA from 1 species
GUGUCAGCAGCCGCGGUAAUACAGAGGUCUCAAGCGUUGUUCGGAUUCAUUGGGCGUAAAGGGUGCGUAGGCGGCGAGGCAAGUCUGGUGUGAAAUCCCGGGGCUCAACCCCGGAACUGCACUGGAUACUGCUUUGCUAGAGUACUGGAGAGGGAACUGGAAUUUACGGUGUAGCAGUGAAAUGCGUAGAUAUCGUAAGGAAGACCAGCGGCGAAGGCGAGUUCCUGGACAGUUACUGACGCUGAGGCACGAAGGCCAGGGGAGCAAACGGGAUUAGAUACCCGAGUAGUCC